rnacentral:tRNA from 1 species
GCCUGGGUGGCUCAGUUGGUUGAGCGUCUGACUUCGGCUCAGGUCAUGAUCUCACAGUUUGUGAGUUCAAGCCCCGCGUCGGGCU